rnacentral:rRNA from 1 species
UACUGGUAAGUAUAGAGAGGGGUCAAGAAGAUUUGGUUGUUGUACCUUUUGUAUCAGGGGAGUUUAAAUCGAGAUUUAGCAGUUAAUCGAGUAGUAUAGAACUUUUUAUUAGGGUAGUAGUUAAAUUUAUUACUGUAAUUUUUUAUGAGGUGACAAAUGUACGGUAUAUUUGGUCUCUAUUUUCUUUUUUUUUUUUGAGGUUAAGCUUUUUUUUUUCUAGCCACAGGAGAUUGCAGUGAGGGAAACAAGGCUUUAGAGUAGCUAUGUUGUUAAAUUGUUUUAAAUAACUUUUUAAAUUCUUGAAAGAGAUAGAGUUUGAGGAUAACUUAAAGAGUAGUACCUUAGGUUAAUAAUGAAUUUAUUGAAUAUAAAGUGAAAAUGUAAAGUCACUCAAGUGAAACUAGAAGGUUUAACAAAAACAUUUUUAUUUGGUUAAAAGAAGUAGGACCUGCCCGGUGAGGAUUAAACGGCUGCGGUAUUUUGACUGUGCUAAGGUAGCAUAAUCAUUUGCUUCUUAAUUGGUAGCUGGAAUGAACGGUUUAACUGGUUUAGUAAGUGUGUAGAUUUAAAUAGAAAAUUAAAGUCAAGGUAAGAAUUCUUUGAUAAUUUAGGGGACGAUAAGACCCUACAAGCUUAAUAGAUAUAAGGAUAAUUUUGGGGUUUAAGUUAGUUUGUUUUACUGGGGCGGUGCUGGUAUUUUAACUAUUAGUUAUUUUAGGAUCCUUAAAAUAUAGAUAAAUUGGAGAAGUUACUUUAGGGAUAACAGUGCAAUAUUUUUGGAGAGAUCUUAUCGAUAGAUAUGUUUGCAACCUCGAUGUUGAAUUAAAAUUUCUACGUGAAGCAGAAGGUACAGUAGAGGGUUUGUUCAACCUUUAAAUUUUUACAUGAUUUGAGUUCAAAUCGGUUUAAGCCAGAUUGGAUUUUAUCUCUAAGUAAUUUUAGGGCCUUUCUAGUACGAAAGGGUUGAUUGGAUUUUGCAGGC